AAUGAACGCUGGCGGCGUGCCUAACACAUGCAAGUCGGAUGUGCCGCAAGGUGCAUGGCAGACGGGUGAGUAACGCGUAGGGAAUCUACCUUUUUGUGGGGAAUAACGUUCCGAAAGGAAUGGUAAUACCGCAUGAGACCAUGGACUGGGAUGUUUAUGGUGAAAGCUGGGGACCGCAAGGCCUAGCGCAAGAAGAGGAUCCUGCGUCUGAUUAGCUAGUUGGCGGGGUAAUGGCCCACCAAGGCGACGAUCAGUAGCCGGCCUGAGAGGGUGAUCGGCCACACUGGAACUGAGACACGGUCCAGACUCCUACGGGAGGCAGCAGUGGGGGAAUUUUGCGCAAUGGACGAAAGUCUGACGCAGCAACGCCGCGUGGGUGAUGAAGGUCUUCGGAUCGUAAAACCCUGUCGUCAGGGACGAAGUGAGUGACGGUACCUGGAGAAGAAGCAUCGGGCUAACUACGUGCCAGCAGCCGCGGUAAU
rnacentral:rRNA from 1 species